GUCUGGGUGGUGUAGUUGGUUAUCACACUAGUUUCAUAGAUUGGAGGUCCCUAAUUCAAACCUGGGCUCAGACA